AGAAAUCCCUCUGAAAAUGUAUCUGACAUGGCAAGCGAUUUUAUAUCUACUCACUCAGCAGGGUAGGACAUAUCACAAAGACCUACAUUACAUGUACUAUAUUUAAUAAUGUUUUAGGCAUUAAUGUGUUUUUAUUAAUAUGACUGCUAUUAUUAUGUUUGGUAUUAUUGUUGAUUUUUUAGUUAGAAAAAUGUCUCGAGGUACGUAACAGAGCUUCACUAUACAGACAAAUAUAGCAUAUUGCAAUUAUUCAUAUAUAUACAAACACAUGUCAACACAUAUUAACACAAAACUGCGAUAUCAGAUCAGUCUGCAUUAAUUUGACCAAAAAAAAUUUUUUUUUAGGCUAUGGUAAUGACACAAUCUACUCAGGCAUACCUGGAAUGUCUGAGAUCACUGAACAUUCACAGAACACAUUUGCAUAUUGCAGGCUUCUGCGGUAUCAGUACUGCAAAGGGCAAUAUAGCGAUAACGUUUGACACAUGAUAAAUUGUGAUGCCCUAGAACCUAAUUACAAAAAGACAAGCCUUUUCAACAACAGAUCGCAGUUGCAUCUCCAGGCCACUUCCUGUAAUCAGUAUCAUGUUUGCUGACAAAAUUGGUCCUGCGUUCCACAAUGGCGCCUGUUCAAGAAGCUAAGACUGAGAAAAGCUUACAGUCAUGCAGUUGCCUGUGUAUGAUUCAUUAGCCAUUGAAUAAAGAGCUCAAACAGCAACAGGGCCUAAACCAGCAAAGCGAUCAUGCUGCAAGCACCAAGCCUGGGAGAUUUAGCAUUGGCAAGCAUCCACGAGCGCCAGUGUUCACCCGGCCUGGCAAAUCAAGCACUCUGCCUUUUUUUUUUUUUUCAUUUCCAGCUGGAAUUAACGGAUGACUGAGGAACUCAGCUCCUCGGGAGCCCUCCUGUGCCUCCCACUGUCUUUUUUCAUUACACCAUUAUUCUACUCAUCUAGCGCAAUUCAACUGGUGGAUCUUCACUAAAACAUUAACACCGAAACGGCUACACAUCAGUAUUCAUACCUCCGACCUCUUGUUUUUGUGUAAAACAAGGUGUGUCUCAAUGGGAUACUUGCACUCAGGGCUAUGACGUAUUUCCUUUUUGAAAUAGCGUGAAUCUCGCGUCUCCGGUAGCACUGUUUACAUUCGGCAGUGUGACAAGGGAGCAAUGUCUAACUUUUUACAAGUCAUAGUGUUGGUCUAGCUUAGCUUGGGUUAGCUUGGGUGUUCGUAUCUACUGAUAGAUAUUUUCAUACCUUCAUAGCUGUUCAUGUAUGACAAAGCAUACAGCCAUACACCUUUUUCCAGCUUACUAAAAGGAGCUUUGCAAGUGUUCUUACAUAAACAAUGAACGUCAUUUACUUUUGGUGUAAAAUUGCACCACUGCCAUUAUAGUGGACAAGCCAGAAGCAGAAGUGCCGUUUUGGUUAUAACGUGGAAGCGUUUGUGCAGGUAGCGAAUGCGCUACUUGCUCAAACGCUUCCACGUUAUAACCAAAACGUGAUUCGAGUGAGGAGCAGUAUUAAGUUCAGCGCUACUGGCAGACAAUUUAUAUUAAAUAUGUCAGGACUGAUAUUGAGAUAUUUCUUAUCUCCAGGACACUUUAUUAUGUGCACCAAUAACCAUUAGCAUACGAUAUAAAAAACAAAUAAAAUGCUAAAUAAUGCCAUCUUAUAAACUAAAGUAAAUGCCAACUAAAUAAUGCCAUCUUAUAAAUGCCAUUUUAUAAAUUGCCAAAUAAUGCUAGAUGACAAUAACCAAGAGUUAUAUUUGAUUUAUUUCAAUGCUUGCCAUCUUCUCUUUCAUAUAUUAUUAUAUAUCUAUUUUAUUUUUACUUUUUAAAUUGUCCCUUGCUUUGAUAUUUUACUGUAUUACAUUCAACAUCAAAGACAUAAACGGCAUUUCCUUUUACAGUCCGCAUUUUCUAUCCCUAAUUUUUUUCCAGGUUUAAAGGCAAGUCCUUGUGUUUAACAUUGGUAGUCUAGGGUCUACUCAAGAACAAUCUGGCAACCUCAGAAUUCUGAACUACAAGAAGGUAAUUUGCAUAAUCUGAAUGGGAAGCCCAGAAAAUCGAUUUAAGCAGCUGCAUAGAUGAAGUCUAAAUAUGCACAAACUUCUCAAAACAAAUACUGACGUAACUUUUGGAUUUAAAUCGUGAAUUCUGAAUGUAGCCCAUAGAUGUUACUGUUGCGUUGUGCUUCGUAACGAUGAACGAUGCUGCAUUACUCGAUUCCAGAUGGUGUGACUGAUCUGACAGGCUCAAACAUGGUUCAAGAAGGGGGUAGGGUUGUAGAGGUGAAAGGUCACUCUAGUGUUCCACCUCUCAUCUUACCCCUUUCAAAUAAGCAGUCUUUCCAAGUGCCAAACUGCUCAGUGUGUCUCCCCCACCCCCUUGCACACUUUCCUUGCUUCAGCCCUACCCCAGUGCAAUCUAUUUAUCCCAUUUCCCUCCUCCCUUCUCUUCUUCUCUUCCUUGCUGCAAAGAACCCGGCAAGCUGCCACUCCCACGAGCAUCUGUUCACUCUAGCCCCCGUUCGUCCUCCACAACCUUCUGCACGCCACUCAGUCACCUGAAAUCUCUGACUCAGCCGUUUCGCAACAAGCCAGUCCUAUCCAAUGCCAUCCCAGAUAUUCUGAGGCAGUGGGUAGAGAGAGAUCUCUAUUCCUAAUACAGAAUAAUUGCUGGGAACUGAGAUAGCACUCACUAUUACUGCAAAAGGGCAGCAUAAGAACAGCACUGCCCCUAAAAAAAUGGGUGGAUUGGACAUGGCUGCUGCAAAGUGGCCUGAAGAGAACACAAGCCAUUCAGCUUACUACCUGGUCUUAGUCCAAGUAGGGAUGAGAGGACAAGAGGCAAUAUUUGAGUCAUACUGAGUGCCUGAAGCCAAGAGAGCCUGCUCAUACACAGGUAGGCUUGGAUAGGAUCUUUAGGUACCUCCUUCUGAAAGCACUCUGGAAGAAGAAAGAGGCCACUAGUGGGUUAAGUGGUCACCUGUAGUGGACAUAGUGGGUUUCAAAGCAAAUUUUCAAGCUUACAUUUCUUUUUUGUUGUUGUUUUUUUUGAGUGGUGAUUUUAACAAUAGGUCACAGAAAUCUGAAUGCAGAUCCCUAAUGAGCAAGCUAGAGGUGACGGUCAGAAGGAAAAACUCGCUGAGGAAGAAACCUUGAGAGGAACCAGACUCGAAUGGGAACCCAACCUCUUCUGAGUGACGGAUAGUGAGAUUAUAAAUCAGUACAGUACACGAGUGUAGAAAAGGUGUAAAAUCAAACAGUAGUAAUUGUGUUUACAGGAUGUUCAGUAUGCGUAAAUUGCGAAUAAGAGUCCUGACAUGGGCACAGGACAGUGUUUAUGAUUAUUGCAGCAGGUACAAAGGUACAAAUCUACAGUAUCUAGGGGAGACUAAUUGUUCUUGGGAAGUGCAAAUACAAAAGCAGAAAGCUCCAAGCAGACGUAGAGCAUUUACAUAUAGUGCCAGCAGACUGCAAAGGUCAGCCCAAACUUUUCUAUCCCUGGCCACAGAUUCCUCAGAUGUUCCUCAGCCAACAGUUCCCAAGCCAACUGUGAGAUAUAAUCUCUCCAGCAUGUCAUGGGUCUGCCCGGGGGUCUCUGUCCGUUGGGACGUGCCCGAUACCUCUCUACCUAGAGUCGAGUGGUGAGCAUCCUCAUAACCCACCUCAACUGGCUCUUUGGAGGAGCAGCGGCUAUACUCCGAGGCUCUCCUGGAUUAUUAAACAAAGGAGAAAUUUUUACACAUGUAAAAGCAAAAACACUGUAGGGCUUUUUCUUAGCAACUCAGCUUUUUAAAAAUGUUGAAUUUAAUUCAUUUUUUCCCAACGCUAUACUCAACACUCUUGGAGCAUUGGGCUAUUUAUGUUACGUACUACAGUAAAUAGAUUUUGAAUAACUGUUUUGUAGGUUUUUUUUUCCAAUGAAAAGAAAGAUGAAAAAAGGUAAGGAACAUUUAUUAGUAAGAGAUACAACUACAGCUUCAGUGGAAGCCUGUUGUCACCAAUCCAUCAGUCCAGUGUGAUCAUUAGCUUCCUGUAACCUGACACAAAUAAUAAAGCACUGGGGUCAAGUUCAGGCAGGACUGUUUGCAGUGUGAGGGAAUGAACCUGUCACAAAUAUGUCAGCACCCAAUGUCAAUCAAUUUUAUUAAAACAUUAUAUAAAUCUAACCCCUUAAACUCUCAUGCCUUCCCAUAUCUAUAUUUUUAAAAAAUCAUAUUUAUAUCAUUUUAUCCUAAAUAUUAUUUUGCCAUAUACAUGCAAUUAUUUUAGCUCCUGUAUCCAUUCUUUACGAGCACAAAAUAAUAAUCAUGGUUUACAUUUACAAAGGUUGAUCAUAAAGUCAUUUUUAAUCAUACCUCUGUGUUCUGUAUAAACUUUCUGGUCUCAUUCUGAUACCAAUUUGUUGGAAACAUCACACAAAUUUUUGAUAUAAUCAAGUUUCCUCAACAACAUUUUUGGAAGGUGUUUCCAAUGUCAGCGCUUUGUACCAGUAAGAUGUAAAGCUGUAACUUAAAAGUUUACGAGACAGGAAUGCUUUCAGUAGAGAGGGCUUUGUGGUUUCUUGGUAACAUGAGAAGCUGCGUUUUUUGUCUUAUUACUUUCAAGAGAGAAAAAAAUAGAGCCUGGUGAAGGAACUACUGUUUACAGCUGCUAUAACAUAACAGGAACUUGUUUCUCAGACAUGUCGCAACAUUAAAUUGAUAGAAAGUAUCACGUGUUGUUCUUUAAUAAAUGAACAAGUUGUUAUUGUUAGGAAUAAAACAAUUUGGGGCUUGAUCUUUGUGGGGGGCUCUCCACUUAUUUUCUUAAAGUUUUAUUCCUUAUUUAAUAAAACUAUUUGACAUCAUGUAGUUUUCAUUCUGGCAAAAUGUUUAACAUGACAUAACAGAUAAUAAACUAAUUAUUAAUUAAUAAAGUAUUAUUAUUAUUAAUAAAGCACUUUCUGGUCUCUCAUAUCAGUUCAGCACAUUGAGAUUGUCAAGCAAAUUUAAGUCUGCGCUCGAAAACUAUAAUAAAAUGGAAGCAACCAGUAAAGCUGAAAAUGUGUUAGUGAGGCAGUCCAGCCAAACUGGCAUUGUGAGAAGGAAUCUGAUAAAGAGAACAGAUCAGUGGUACGGGUCGAACACUCAAACACUCCCUCUGCAUUAAAACAAAUGUCUCUAACACUCACACUCAAAAAAAAGGCAAAAAUUUUACAUGGGAAUUUAACUUCAAUUAAUGAGGAAAAUAUCUGUGUGAACAUAAGACAGAGUUAAAAUCUCAGAACGACUGACACGGAAAGUGUGUGAACAGAAGUCAAUACAGGAAGUCAUAAAAUAGGAUGACGUCUUGAUGGGUAUUUAUCCGACGCCACUCUGACACAUUUUAAGGCGGCUAUUUUAAAACAACAACAGGAGGAAAAGUCUAAAAUCAAGGAAGAAUUAAAACAGAGGAAAUGUAUAAAAAAAAUCGGCCAUUUGUGCCAAGUGGGGAAGUUCCUCUUCAAAUGACUGGUACAGUCCAGGUUGUGUCAUUUCUGAGGCAAUCAGUAGCAAAGAACAUGGUGUAAGUAGGGAGAAGUUACACAGAUAGUAAACAAGGUACAUACAUGUUUUUAAAAUGUAAAUUCCAUGAAAUCCAGUGAUUUAUGCCACACUGUGUGUAAUUAGACCUUAAUGAACAUGUGAAAUACUGCUUGAAGGCUAAAAAAAUUGAAUGAUACAAAUCCUAAACAUUUACAGUAACGCAGGGCUACCAAAUAGGAAAACAUAAAUUUCUAAUUCGAUAAUCAAACUGACAAAUUGUAAUAUUUACAAGGUAACAUCAUGAUAAUUCUUGAUUCUUAUUAGACAAAAGGUGUUAAUUAAUUUUCUCUAACAGCAGCUCUGACAAUAGGUACAGCUCCAAGGCAAACUGCAGGUACAUACUAAUGUGCUCAUUCUUAUACGUUUCUAUAUAAUUAUCAGGCACUUAUUAAUAAAUUUGUACAUUUUUGGAAGAAUUCUGCAGUGCCAGUGCUUUGUAACAGAUGGUAGUUUUCCACUAUGGGGAAGACUUCAGGCCAGAAGACUCCCUGAUGUUUCUCGGUAACAUCGCCAGCUGCAUUUUUUUUUUUUGUUUGUUUGUUUUUUUUUGGUUUAUUACCUCCAAAAA